CCCCCCAUUGGCCUCUGCCAACCCUUCGUUAUCCGAAUUGCACCCGACUACCCGAUCGUCGAUCACAGGCCCAAAUCAACAGUACCCGUCCGUUGGUUCCUUGGCCAGUCCGCUACCUUAGCUAGUGAGCUUUACAUAUGGACCACCCACGUUGGCCAGUGGCCACCGCCUAUUAAUUCCUCUACUGCUCACCUGUCCAACAGAUUCUUUCUCCCACCUAAUCCCCUCCGUCUCAUCUGAAUAAAAGGACCCCUCUUUUUCUCUCUUCAGGCUUUUAUCUUUGGGUGGUCGAGUUCUUGAUUCUUCUUUAAUUUUACCAUACGCGGAAGUUUCUUGAUUUGCCUUUCUAGUUGCUCUGCUCGGUUCGAUCUUGAUUUUGCCGUUCUAGUUGCUCUGAUCGUUUCGAUCUUGAUUUGCCGGUGCUAUCUCUGAUUUUGGGGGCACCAUCUCUUGUUUCAAUCUCUCUUUCUCUCUCCCCGACUCUCUCUCGCUCUCUCUGAAUUUUUUGUUUCUAUGAUGAUCUAAAAGCAUCGGUGAAUUCUGGAUGAAUGCGUUUGCGCACGAACAGUGUGCCGCUCUGGUGAUAUCCCUGCGUUAUUCAUCUGAGGCACGCGCGCAUGAAUGAUGAAUGUUAUUGCUCUCUAAUCUUUAAGUUUCAAUCUUUCUUUCUCUCUCUCCCCGGCUCUCUCUCUCUCUGAAUUUUGUGUGUCUAUGAUGAUCUAAAAGCAUCGGUGAAUUCUGGAUGAAUGCGCUUGCGCACGAACAGUGUGCAGCUCUGGUGAUAUCCCUGCGUUAUUCAUCUGAGACACGCACACAUGAAUGAUUCAUGUUCUUGCUCUCUAGUCUUUAGUUUCAGACCAGUCUUCUUUUACUCGAUCCGGCAAUUCAGGUCGGUAGAUCUGCUUUAUGGAAGUGACAGACUUGUAAAAUGCUGCCCUUUUGUUUUGCAUCAGGACUGAUUUUGUUUCACAAUCAAUUGAGAUUUGUCGCGAAACGAAAGGAAAUUCGACUGAGAUUGACACUUGAUGCAUAUUUAUCAAUAUACAUAGGUCCAAAACUUGUAAAGGACAAAAAAUCAAUUAAUUUUUUCAAUGCUCAUCAGAGUGCUGGACAUGCAGAUGCAGAUAGAAGCGUCUACAACAGGAUGACACAACAUACAAGCGUCGAUACAACAAGCUGGGCUCUGAUUCGCUGGUUCUGUUUAUUCCCAUCAAUGUGCAAAACAUGCAGGUACAAGUGGGAGCUCUGAUUCACGAUCUGUGAAGGUUCCUCCUGUCAGGUGUUGGAGAGGACGUGUUGGUUCUCGCACGUUCCCCCUAGGUAUUCGGUUCAGUUUGUCCGUCCAUCGAUCAUUCAAUCUGUUCCCGUGUUCUCUGUUUCGCGUUUGUGAUCUUUGCUGUCAGGUUCUUGUGUGAUUCCUCGCAAGACGGAUCCGUCCUAAAUCCUCAACCCAUCCUCUCUGGAUCGCUUGGACUCUUCAUAAUAAAGUUGAAUGAUCGAAUGAUUAAUACUGCGAGUCGUGCAUUUAUACACGGAGUUAGCACAACAGAACCUGAAACGGAUGUGACUACAAUCGAGCCGCGUGCACACGGGAUGCGGUGAUCGUUGAAGGUUCGGCAGUUCCGGGAUUUUGCCAUCACGUUGCGACUGUCCCGAAAUUCGUUGAAGAGUUACUACUCGAUCCCGGACAAAGUACAGCUCGAUCUACAUAUUGUGCUUCGUCCGCUAAUGCUGCAUAGGGAAGGAUCUUACACAUCAGCAGCAUCGGCGGCAGAAACCUUGGCUUUGGUGGCGAUAGGAGUAAAAAUGGGUUUGCAAUUGAGCAUGCGCGCACGGUCAAGAGAUAUAUUGCUCAUAGGACGGAAAUAGGCCAUGAGGAGAACGGUGGACGUUGAUGUCGAGAAAGUGAUGAAGAUCACCAAGAUUUGUCAUGGCGAACUCCUGACGAAGAUAGCCAUUGUUAGUUGUAUGCACAUUCAGAUUUAUGACGCAAUGGAAAAGACCAAGAUUUGUGUGAGAAGUCAUCAAGUGUGAGCACCACUCGAAACUCACAAAUAAUCCGACUCCAGAUCAAGGAAAACAACUCAAAUCGAUGAACUAUUUGGUUCUAGCUGUGCUGUUCCACUCAUCCUCACUCACACCGAAUUCGAUUACAAGAGUAGGUCAAAUCUAGCCUAGUCUACCCGGUCCGCCGAAAGCCAAGUUCUUCUUGGAAACUCUACUAUAUAAAGGUAGUUCCUGAAAACUCUACUAGAUAAAGGUAAA